UCCUAAGCUGAGGCCGACAGGCGUAGGCGAUGGAUAACAGGUUGAUAUUCCUGUACCACCAUUAUUCGUUUUAAGCGAUGGGGGGACGCAGUAGGAUAGGCGAAGCGUGCUGUUGGAGUGCACGUCCAAGCAGUGAGAUUGAGUGUUAGGCAAAUCCGGCACUCUUAAGAUUGAGCUGUGAUGGGGAGAGGAACUUGUUCCUCGAGUCGUUGAUUUCACACUGCCGAGAAAAGCCUCUAGCUAGAAUAACGGUGCCCGUACCGCAAACCGACACAGGUAGUCAAGAUGAGAAUUCUAAGGUGAGCGAGCGAACUCUCGUUAAGGAACUCGGCAAAAUGACCCCGUAACUUCGGGAGAAGGGGUGCUCUUUGAGGUUCACGCUUCGAAGAGCCGCAGUGAAUAGGCCCAAGCGACUGUUUAUCAAAAACACAGGUCUCUGCUAAACCGUAAGGUGACGUAUAGGGGCUGACGCCUGCCCGGUGCUGGAAGGUUAAGAGGAGUGGUUAGCGCAAGCGAAGCUACGAAUCGAAGCCCCAGUAAACGGCGGCCGUAACUAUAACGGUCCUAAGGUAGCGAAAUUCCUUGUCGGGUAAGUUCCGACCCGCACGAAAGGCGUAACGAUUUGGGCACUGUCUCAACGAGAGACUCGGUGAAAUCAUAGUACCGGUGAAGAUGCCGGUUACCCGCGACAGGACGGAAAGACCCCGUGGAGCUUUACUGUAGCCUGAUAUUGAAAUUCGGUACAGUUUGUACAGGAUAGGUAGGAGCCUUAGAAGCGUGAGCGCUAGCUUACGUGGAGGCAUUGGUGGGAUACUACCCUAAUUGUAUUGGAUUUCUAACCCGCAGCACUUAUCGUGCUGGGAGACAGUGUCAGGCGGGCAGUUUGACUGGGGCGGUCGCCUCCUAAAGAGUAACGGAGGCGCUCAAAGGUUCCCUCAGAAUGGUUGGAAAUCAUUCAUAGAGUGUAAAGGCAUAAGGGAGCUUGACUGCGAGACCUACAAGUCGAGCAGGGUCGAAAGACGGACUUAGUGAUCCGGUGGUUCCGCAUGGAAGGGCCAUCGCUCAACGGAUAAAAGCUACCCCGGGGAUAACAGGCUUAUCUCCCCCAAGAGUUCACAUCGACGGGGAGGUUUGGCACCUCG
rnacentral:rRNA from 1 species